AAAAUCCACAGAAGCUGACUCAACGUCGACGGGGUCGACGGUGAGACCUAAACGGAGAAGCUCCGUGGGUUCAAGGGUUAAUCCCACAGUAACAAUUAAUCUACAAAUUGCAAAGGUUCUAAAUUUAUAGGUCAAAAGGGUGGCCAUGAGGGGGGUAGGAGAGUCACGUGCGAGAAGAGGAGGAAGCACAUGUGAGAGAAGGAGGAGGAAACCACCGUUCUCCUCCCUGUCUUGCAAUUUACAUACGGUGGUGGGGUCAUGUUUUGGAUACGGAGGAUCUACAUAGGGUCCCAGGCUGCGGAUGGAUUCACGUGGGUGCUGCUGCCCUACUCGGCUGCCUUACACCCGGUGCUUUUUCAUCUAAUUACAAACUCUCGAAGUUAACUUGGGUUUUAAAAUUUUUACUUUAUAUUGUUUUUCGUCAUUUUAAAUUAUUUAUUAAGUUAAUUCAUGUCUAUAUUACUUUUUAUUUGAA